GACGACGCUGGCGGCAGGCCUAACACAUGCAAGUCGAGCGAGCGGCGUACGGGUUAGUAAUGUAUGUGGAUCUGACCGAUAGAGGGGGAUCACUACUGGAAACGGUUGCUACUACCGCCUACUAUCGGAUGGACCCAUGUGGGAUUAGCUAGUGGGGGGGGUAAAGGCUCACCUAGGCGACGAUCUCUAGCUGGUCUGAGAGGAUGAUCAGCCACACUGGGACUGAGAAACGGCCCAGACUCCUACGGGAGGCAGCAGGGGGGAAUAUUGGACAAUGGGCGCAAGCCUGAUGCAGCCAUGCCGCGUGUAUGAAGAAGGCCUUAGGGUUGUAAAGUACUUUCAGUGGGGAGGCGUUACCCGCAGAAUAAGCACCGGCUAACUCCGUGCCAGCAGCCGCGGUAAUAC
rnacentral:rRNA from 1 species